AACAGAGGCCUGAUGGGGCCAUGAACUCUGGCUGGGAUGUGAUUUUAUGGAAGCAGGAGUUGGUGAUCAUUUAUCAAAAGGAGCGAUCUGAAACUUUGCAUCUCAAUGGGGUGAUAGAAAACAGUGUGGCAGAAAUCCACUUCUCUUAUCAGGGAGCCCCGAAAGAUGCUUCCAAGAAUUCAUGAGCAUUUAUAUCAGCAUUCUUCUACAAUCACAGGAGGAAGGAGAGAAGACAGGAGCUCGGAGGUUCAUCAAUUGGGAAACUGAACUGAAUGCAGAAUUCUUCCCAUAGCAAGUCAUGUUAUCCACGCAAGCAGCCCCAUGGACAAGGGCGAGGCGCUACAGUGGUUACAACGGCAGACAGCACAGUGGGUCCAGACACACCACAGAUCAUUGCCAGCCCUGCGCGGGCAGCUACUUGGCCAUGUUCCUGGCCCUGAACCACACCGAUGAGCUGACCUUCACAUUAGCUAUUGUUUUCCAGAGAAAACUGGGCCUAUGCAUGUUGUACAGACGACACGGAUUUAUGUCUGGUUUUGGAAAAAAUAAGUUCUAGCAUGCACUCUACUGAAAAUAGGCCGGUUGCCGGAGCUUCAGGUCUUUUCACUGUUGUUCUGUGAAAAACCGGAGCAAAUGAUGAGUUCUCAACUCUUUUGCUAUGGGCCAAAAAUGGAAGAUGUCUAUAAAAGCGCCUCCCCGAUAUAAGGAAGUGACGCUGGUUCUAGGAGGAAGAGAAGACGGGCUUCCUAGAGGUUUCAGAUGUGCUAACUGCCACGUGCACGCAGGAGACCUUAACCUCUGUAGUUUUCAGCCGGAGGUAGUGACUAUCCACGGCACGUAGUAAUCAGAGACAAUAGUAAGCUAGAGAGAAUCACUCCGCCUUGCAGUCUGGCCCUUUCCACAAUCUGAGCAACAGAAGGUAUG